rnacentral:rRNA from 1 species
GACGAACCGAGCAAACGUUAUUCGGAAUCACUGGGCUUAAAGGGCGCGUAGGCGGGCAUUCAAGUCCGUGGUGAAAUCCGGCAGCUCAACUGUCGAACUGCCGCGGAUACUGGGUGUCUCGAGGGAGGUAGGGGCGUGCGGAACUAUUGGUGGAGCGGUGAAAUGCGUUGAUAUCAAUAGGAACUCCGGUGGCGAAGGCGGCAUACUGGACCACCACUGACGCUGAUGCGCGAAAGCCAGGGGAGCAAACGGG